UACGGAGGGUGCAAGCGUUAUCCGGAAUCACUGGGUUUAAAGGGUGCGUAGGCGGCACAAUAAGUCAGAAGUGAAAGGCUGUAGCUUAACUAUGGAAUUGCUUUUUGAUUACUGUUGAGCUUGAAUUGGGUUGAGGUUAGCGGAAUGAGUCAUGUAGCGGUGAAAUGCAUAGAUAAUGACUUAGAACACCAAUUGCGAAGCAGCUAACUGGGCCUUGAUUGACGCUGAGGCACGAAAGCGUGGGGAGCGAACAGGAAUUAGAUACCCGGUGUAGUCC
rnacentral:rRNA from 1 species